rnacentral:ncRNA from 1 species
CUUAUCCAGAACGGCAGAGGGGACGGCCCUAUGAAGCCUAGCAACGGGUCUUAGACCCUUACGGGCGUAGAUACGGUGCUAACUCCGGCGUCUGACAGUUAACGGUCAGGCGAAAGAUGAG